GAUUAACGCUAGCGGCAGGCAUAAUACAUGCAAGUUGAACGGGAUUAGUUGUAGCAAUAUGACUAUGAGAGUAGCGCACGGGUGCGUAACGCGUAUGCAACCUGCCUCCAACUGGGGAAUAGCCCCUCGAAAGAGGGAUUAAUACCGCAUAAAAUAGUGAAUAGGCAUCUAUUUACUAUUAAAACUACGGUGGUUGGAGAUGGGCAUGCGUGACAUUAGCUAGUUGGUAGGGUAAUGGCCUACCAAGGCUACGAUGUCUAGGGGGUCUGAGAGGAUGUCCCCCCACACUAGUACUGAGAUACGGACCAGACUCCUACGGGAGGCAGCAGUAGGGAAUAUUGGUCAAUGGAGGCAACUCUGAACCGGCCAUGCCGCGUGCAGGAUGACGGCCCUAUGGGUUGUAAACUGCUUUUGUACGGGAAGAAACCUCAUUACGUGUAAUGAGUUGACGGUACCGUGAGAAUAAGGAUCGGCUAACUUCGUGCCAGCAGCCGCAGUAA
rnacentral:rRNA from 1 species